rnacentral:sRNA from 10 species
AUUAUUACACGCAAAGGUAAUAAUGAAAUUAAAAAUUGGAAACUUUUUUUAAUUUGAUAGGGAGGAAACCAACUAUCAC